UGAUUAUCAGGCAUGUAUUCCGUGAGGUGAAUUCAAUGGUCGAUAAAGGUAAAAUCUUUUGUAGCAGAGCAUAUAAGAGAAAUUCUCUAGACUGUAUUGGAGGUUAUCUUAGGAUAGCUUCAAAAUAUUUUAUUUUUUAACUUUUUUGAUUGUAUUUAUAUAAGAUUUAUUUGAAUAGAUUGUUUUAUCAGAAAAGAAGAAGAAGGAGGAGGAGGAGGAAAAGA
rnacentral:lncRNA from 1 species